rnacentral:rRNA from 1 species
GAUGAACGCUGGCGGCGCGCCUAACACAUGCAAGUCGAACGGUUAAAGCACCUUUUAGGUGUGUAUAAAGUGGCGAACGGCUGAGUAACACGUGGGCAACCUGCCCUCCUCUUGGGGAUAGCCUCGGGAAACCGAGGAUAAUACCCGAUACUUCAAUGUGGCCGCAUGACGACAUUGAGAAAGCUUUUGCGGAGAAGGAUGGGCCCGCGGCCUGUUAGCUUGUUGGUGGGGUAGAGGCCUACCAAGGCAAUGAUGGGUAGCUGGGUUGAGAGACCGACCAGCCAGAUUGGGACUGAGACACGGCCCAGACUCCUACGGGAGGCAGCAGUGGGGAAGCUUGCACAAUGGGCGAAAGCCUGAUGCAGCGAGGCCGCGGGCGGGACGAAGGCCUUCGGGUUGUAAACCGCUUUCAGCAGGGACGAGGCGAUAAGUGACGGUACCUGCAGAAGAAGCCCCGGCUAACUACGUG